UACGUAGGGGGCUAGCGUUGUCCGGAAUCAUUGGGCGUAAAGAGCGUGUAGGCGGUCCGGUAAGUCCGCUGUGAAAGUCGGGGGCUCAACCCUCGAAUGCCGGCGGAUACUGUCGGGCUAGAGUCCGGAAGAGGCGAGUGGAAUUCCUGGUGUAGCGGUGAAAUGCGCAGAUAUCAGGAGGAACACCUACGGCGAAGGCAGCUCGCUGGGACGGUACUGACGCUGAGACGCGAAAGCGUGGGGAGCAAACAGG
rnacentral:rRNA from 1 species